rfam:Brachypodium distachyon strain Bd21 chromosome 2, whole genome shotgun sequence.
AUGUGAAUCCCAGGGCGCUUCUCCUUUGGCACGGUGGCAUGUACCUGCAAUGGAGUCAGCCAGGUGAGGAUGCAGGUGAAGCUCCAGGCUUCCGUGGUGCAGCUCGCAAGCCGUGCGUGCCAAAGGAGAAUUGCCCUGCGAUUCCCCU